rnacentral:ncRNA from 1 species
AUUCUCGGGGUAAGGUGAAAUUCCUGACCGGCGGUGAUGUUCAAAGCGAACUAAGCCCGCGACUCGAUUCUGCUGCCUGCAGCGGAAUUGACUGAUCUGGUGACAAUCCAGAGCCGACGGUAAAGUCCGGAUGGGAGAGGAU